UACUUAUUCAGAUGCUCUUUUCAGAUGAAGGGACAAGGAUUAAAUCAUUUGAAAAAGGCCACAUGGUGCUAUUAUCCGAGCCAGGAUUGUAUUUUCAGAGAGUAUGAUCAUUAGCUCUGCUAAGUCCUGCUUCUCAAGUUCUUUCCUUCAGUGAGUGAGAACAUAUAUUGUCUUCUUAUCCAGGUAAGAGACAGAAACCUCCUAGACAC
rnacentral:lncRNA from 1 species